GACGAACGCUGGCGGCGUGCCUAAUACAUGCCAGUAGAACGCUGAAGGAAGGAGCUUGCUCUUUCUGGAUGAGUUGCGAACGGGUGAGUAACGCGUAGGUAACCUGCCUGGUAGCGGGGGAUAACUAUUGGAAACGAUAGCUAAUACCGCAUAAAAUUGAUUAUUGCAUGAUAGUCAAUUAAAAGGUGCAACUGCACCACUACCAGAUGGACCUGCGUUGUAUUAGCUAGUUGGUGGGGUAACGGCUCACCAAGGCGACGAUACAUAGCCGACCUGAGAGGGUGAUCGGCCACACUGGGACUGAGACACGGCCCAGACUCCUACGGGAGGCAGCAGUAGGGAAUCUUCGGCAAUGGACGGAAGUCUGACCGAGCAACGCCGCGUGAGUGAAGAAGGUUUUCGGAUCGUAAAGCUCUGUUGUAAGGGAAGAACGAGUGUGAGAGUGGAAAGUUCACACUGUGACGGUAUCUUACCAGAAAGGGACGGCUAACUACGUG
rnacentral:rRNA from 1 species